CCUACGGGGUGCAGCAGUGGGGAAUAUUGGACAAUGGGCGAAAGCCUGAUCCAGCCAUGCCGCGUGUGUGAAGAAGGCCUUCGGGUUGUAAAGCACUUUCAGUGGGGAAGAAAGCCUUGGGGCUAAUACCCUCGAGGAAGGACAUCACCCACAGAAGAAGCACCGGCUAACUCCGUGCCAGCAGCCGCGGUAAUACGGAGGGUGCGAGCGUUAAUCGGAAUUACUGGGCGUAAAGCGCGCGUAGGCGGUCUGAUAAGCCGGUUGUGAAAGCCCCGGGCUCAACCUGGGAACGGCAUCCGGAACUGUCAGGCUAGAGUGCAGGAGAGGAAGGGAGAAUCCCCGGUGUAGCGGUGAAAUGCGUAGAGAUCGGGAGGAAUACCAGUGGCGAAGGCGGCCUUCUGGACUGACACUGACGCUGAGGUGCGAAAGCGUGGGUAGCAAACAGGAUUAGAUACCCCUGUAGUC
rnacentral:rRNA from 1 species